UUAACAGGCCUCUGUAUGAAAAUUUAAGCAGAGGCAAAGCCCGAAAGGAAAAUUUGGAGGCAACGGGAAACAGAAUUGUCCCUACAGUCAAACUUAACAGUCUACGUUCCCCGCAAGAAAAGCAACAACUCUCCGGAAAGUGUUACUAUGUUGGGGGGGUGGGGGGAGUCACUGGUUUGGGUCCCCUCCCUUCUAGGUGUGAGGGGGGCGUGGCCACCCCUGAAGUCCGAGGGGUCCUGGUGGCUGGGGGGGGGGGGGACAGUGUCAGGAGGACCCACCCUGCAGGCUGUGGAAUCCUGGGGGAUCCCCACAUAGCUGUGGGGAGGGCCAUUGGACUUGUGCUAACCUGGGACUUGGGCAUUAAAAAGGGGAUAGGGACCCCUGAGAAUCCAGCACCGGUCGGUUGAGUCACAUGCUGGGUAAUCACCUAAGCCAGGUGUCUCGUGGGGGCCCUUGGUUUCCAGGGCAGGACUCGGGCGGGGCUGGCUAUCUGGUGUAGAAGGAGCCAGCGCUGGAGGCCUGAGGAGGCCCCUGUGACUUCAAAAGUACUCCUGGAAAAAUGGUAACUCAUAGCCCAAGGGAAAUCCGAGCUUUUCUCUCUCACCCAGAGGGCCAUUCUCUCCGCAACACAGGGACGCAGUGACGGCAGAAUGAAGCAGAAAUGAAGCCUGAGAACAGAGCUGGCCUGUACUCUUGGUGUCAGAGGGCAGCUGAACUCCUCCCUCCUCUGUCUCCGCAGAAAAGAAGACUUAAGAGUGUCCGUUUCUCCCCUUUCCAGCCCAGGGAAUUCAGGUCUGGCCCACCAAAAACAGAACAGGCAUCCUCUGAAGCCCCGUGCUCCUUCCAGAGAGGAAUGAAAAGGGGAGCUGUUUGCUUUUCCUCCUACGUGACUUCAUGACGCGCAGAGACUUCUGGGUUUCCUCACGGCUAAGAUUCCAGCUAAGAUUCCC